AACGAACGCUGGCGGCAUGCCUAACACAUGCAAGUCGAACGAGACCUUCGGGUCUAGUGGCGCACGGGUGCGUAACGCGUGGGAACCUGCCCUUAGGUUCGGAAUAACUCCCCGAAAGGGGUGCUAAUACCGGAUAAUGUCUUCGGACCAAAGAUUUAUCGCCUUUGGAGGGGCCCGCGUUGGCUUAGCUAGUUGGUAGGGUAAAAGCCUACCAAGGCGACGAUCCAUAGCUGGUCUGAGAGGAUGAUCAGCCACACUGGGACUGAGACACGGCCCAGACUCCUACGGGAGGCAGCAGUGGGGAAUAUUGGACAAUGGGCGAAAGCCUGAUCCAGCAAUGCCGCGUGAGUGAUGAAGGCGUUAGGGUUGUAAAGCUCUUUUACCCGGGAUGAUAAUGACAGUACCGGGAGAAUAAGCUCCGGCUAACUCCGUG
rnacentral:rRNA from 1 species